rnacentral:rRNA from 1 species
CCUACGGGGGGCAGCAGUGGGGAAUAUUGGACAAUGGACGAAAGCCUGAUCCAGCCAUGCCGCGUGUGUGAAGAAGGCCUUCGGGUUGUAAAGCACUUUCAGUGGGGAAGAAAGCCUUGGGGCUAAUACCCUCGAGGAAGGACAUCACCCACAGAAGAAGCACCGGCUAACUCCGUGCCAGCAGCCGCGGUAAUACGGAGGGUGCGAGCGUUAAUCGGAAUUACUGGGCGUAAAGCGCGCGUAGGCGGUCUGAUAAGCCGGUUGUGAAAGCCCCGGGCUCAACCUGGGAACGGCAUCCGGAACUGUCAGGCUAGAGUGCAGGAGAGGAAGGUAGAAUUCCCGGUGUAGCAGUGAAAUGCGUAGAGAUCUGGAGGAAUACCAGUGGCGAAGGCGGCCUUCUGGACUGACACUGACGCUGAGGUGCGAAAGCGUGGGUAGCAAACAGGAUUAGAUACCCCAGUAGUC